rnacentral:lncRNA from 1 species
CAGUUUCCUUUUUGCUCUUGUGAACCGAUUCCUUUCUAAUAGAUUCAAAAAUAUACCAAAGAGCUUUACAGAAACUUUUUCUUGAUUAAGAAAUCAUAAAAAUAUAAAUGGGAUGGAUCGCAAUUUGGGCCAGAAUACAACACAGAAGAACUUAGAAUAAUAGGUGGAAGAGCGUUGCACAAAAUUUAUAUCUUGUCCAACGCAAUGUAAUUUCAUUUAGUAUAAGACUUAAUGAUCACUAUCAUGUUAGAUAUAGAACUAGUUUCUGAGUUUUCAAGUUGGACAAUGGAUAUUAUCUUCCAUGGAAAUAACAAAGAAAUGUAUCACUCAGAUCAAAUAAAUAAUGGAACUGAUGAUUGGUAUCUUAAACAUGUAAACAAUGGUUGCUAAUAAUGGUAAUAGUUCAUCACACAAUUCGCAGACGUAACGUCGUCGGUGCACUGUGUAUAAUGGAGUAUGUGUGGUAGAAGUGGAAUAUUCUAGAACAUGCUUGAUGUGUUGUACACCCUCCUAUCUAUAGAUAUCCAGACUCGUAGCGUCACUAAUUUGGCAGAGAGAGAACAACGGAAUCAAAAUUGAGCCUCUCCCGUGUUGACGCAAGGGGUUCGGCCUUGGUCAAGAUUUGUUCAACCAAUGAUGAUGAAGUCCUCAAGAGUUGGUCUUGGUCUAGAAAAGUCCCACGCCCUUUAUGCUAGGUUAUGGUUGAGCUAACUCGACCAACCCAAGUGAGGGACCUGUGAGUCGACCCUAAGGCUCGGUCUCUGGAUCAAGACGAAAGUGACAAACCUUCAAGACUCGACUUGGUUGAGCUAAGAGGGGGCCAAGCAUUGUC